rnacentral:rRNA from 1 species
CUGGCGGCAGGCCUAACACAUGCAAGUCGAGCGGUAGCACAGAGAGCUUGCUCUCGGGUGACGAGCGGCGGACGGGUGAGUAAUGUCUGGGAAACUGCCUGAUGGAGGGGGAUAACUACUGGAAACGGUAGCUAAUACCGCAUAACGUCGCAAGACCAAAGUGGGGGACCUUCGGGCCUCAUGCCAUCAGAUGUGCCCAGAUGGGAUUAGCUAGUAGGUGGGGUAACGGCUCACCUAGGCGACGAUCCCUAGCUGGUCUGAGAGGAUGACCAGCCACACUGGAACUGAGACACGGUCCAGACUCCUACGGGAGGCAGCAGUGGGGAAUAUUGCACAAUGGGCGCAAGCCUGAUGCAGCCAUGCCGCGUGUAUGAAGAAGGCCUUCGGGUUGUAAAGUACUUUCAGCGGGGAGGAAGGCGAUAAGGUUAAUAACCUUGUCGAUUGACGUUACCCGCAGAAGAAGCACCGGCUAACUCCGUGCCAGCAGCCGCGGUAAUACGGAGGGUGCAAGCGUUAAUCGGAAUUACUGGGCGUAAAGCGCACGCAGGCGGUCUGUCAAGUCGGAUGUGAAAUCCCCGGGCUCAACCUGGGAACUGCAUUCGAAACUGGCAGGCUAGAGUCUUGUAGAGGGGGGUAGAAUUCCAGGUGUAGCGGUGAAAUGCGUAGAGAUCUGGAGGAAUACCGGUGGCGAAGGCGGCCCCCUGGACAAAGACUGACGCUCAGGUGCGAAAGCGUGGGGAGCAAACAGGAUUAGAUACCCUGGUAGUCCACGCCGUAAACGAUGUCGAUUUGGAGGUUGUGCCCUUGAGGCGUGGCUUCCGGAGCUAACGCGAUAAAUCGACCCGCA